GGCUGUGGCUCAGCGGCAGAGCACUUGCCUAGCAAAUGUGAGGCCCUGGGUUCGAUCCUCAGCACCA
rnacentral:tRNA from 1 species